CAGUGGCAUCAACAGAAAUUCAAACAUGCUGAUAGUGACCAGUGUGCUUCAAAUUAGAAGGUAGGAAACAAGAAAUCAGCCCAAGAAGAAAUACUUUGGUGAGUGCAAAGCAGCUUACAUAUAUUUCACAUCUGCCUCUUCCCAAUACUUUGAUUUAUCCCUUCAGCACAGCAGGUUUUCCCCCCUCAUGUAUUACUUUUUACUUGCCAGAAGUGCUUAUAGAAACAAAUGAGAAAUAUCAAGCCUGCUGAAGCAUAGUCUGCUGCCAAACUCACCUUCUUUAUUCAACCACCUAUGAGAAUAAUAAAUUUGAGCUCAUAAAAGUCUUUGGCA
rnacentral:lncRNA from 1 species